UACGGAGGGUGCGAGCGUUAUCCGGAUUCACUGGGUUUAAAGGGUGCGUAGGUGGGAAUGUAAGUCAGUGGUGAAAUCUCUGAGCUUAACUCAGAAACUGCCAUUGAUACUAUGUUUCUUGAAUUAUCUGGAGGUCAGCGGAAUAUGUCAUGUAGCGGUGAAAUGCUUAGAUAUGACAUAGAACACCAAUUGCGAAGGCAGCUGGCUAACAGGUGGAUUGACACUGAGG
rnacentral:rRNA from 1 species